rnacentral:tRNA from 1 species
UCUCCUUUAGCUCAGUGGUUAGAGUUUUGUGCUUAUGUCACAAAUGUCGGCAGUUCAAACCUGUCAAGGAGAA